rnacentral:rRNA from 1 species
ACGCUCGACACCUACGGAGGCAGCAGUGGGGAAUAUUGCACAAUGGGGGAAACCCUGAUGCAGCGACGCCGCGUGAAGGAAGAAGUAUCUCGGUAUGUAAACUUCUAUCAGCAGGGAAGAAAAUGACGGUAUCUGACUAAGAAGCCCCGGCUAACUACGUGCCAGCAGCCGCGGUAAUCUGAGCGGGCUGGCAAGGC